rnacentral:lncRNA from 11 species
UGCAGACAAGGCUACUAAACAGAUCUACAUUUUUAAAAGGGCAAAAAGCAUAGUGCAACACUAAUUUCCUUCAGUACUACAAGGAAGAAGAUGUAACUAAAAUUUGGAGCUAUUAACCAUGGAACCUUUGCUGGAAUUCAGAUGGGAUCUAUAAAUUAAGGAAAACAGAAGGUUCAAAACAGAUAUGAGGUGAAGGAAUGAAGCAAUGGAGGUGGAAUUUCCCACCUUUAUUCUGGCUGCAGCUAGCAGAGUGACAGGUGCUUUUAUUGUUGCCUUCUCUACUGAUGUGACUUGUAUUUUAUUACACCAUUUUCUUCUCUUCAAGUCCCCCACAUCUAUCCAGCCUUAUAAUCUACAGUUGCAGUUGCAGUAGUAGUUGCAGUUGCAGUCCCAGGAUAUCAUCUUAGAGGAAAUAGAGUCACCUCAGUUAAGAGCCACUUUAUCAAUGCAGGAGAAUGAACUAUCC